GACGAACGCUGGCGGCGUGCUUAACACAUGCAAGUCGAACGGAAAGGCCCUGCUUUUGUGGGGUGCUCGAGUGGCGAACGGGUGAGUAACACGUGAGUAACCUGCCCUUGACUUUGGGAUAACUUCAGGAAACUGGGGCUACUACCGGAUAGGAGCUCCUGCUUCUUGGUGGGGGAUGGAAAUUUUCGGCGGUUGGGGCUGGACUCUCGGCUUAUCAGCUUGUUGGUGGGGUAUUGGCUUACCAAGGCUUUGACGGGUAGCCGGCCUGGGAGGGUGACCGGCCACAUUGGGACUGGGAUACGGCCCAGACUCCUACGGGAGGAAGCAGGGGGGAGUAUUGCACAAUGGGCGGAAGCCGGAUGCAGCAACGCCGCGUGCGGGAUGACGGCCUUCGGGUUGUAAACCGCUUUCGCCUGUGACGAAGCGUGAGUGACGGUAAUGGGUAAAGAAGCACCGGCUAACUACGUG
rnacentral:rRNA from 1 species